rnacentral:lncRNA from 1 species
AGUUCCUGGACUUUCCCCUGGCAUUGACAGAGGAGAUGGGGCCCUGAAUGCGGUGAGUACUACCACCAGUUCGAAAGAAGGGGGGUUAGGACAGAAAGAUAAUUGUGUCAUGGAGUCAAGGCGGAUCGCCUUGGAGCUGUCAAAGGGGUGAAGGAUAUUUCGCUUGCUCCGGGUCAUCAGCGCUCAGAGACACGGCUGGGAGUGUGCCGGAAGCUGAAGCAAUCUGGAAGUGACAGGCCAGCGUCAGGGGGAGAAGCCUUAGUGAAAGAGCCACUGAGUCACCACAGUCUCUGUCUGGAGCGGCAGCCUUGGAGCCAGACGCCGCCACAGCCGAGACGCAAGAAGAUGUCACAGAGGGUCCAGGGUGACUGUGACUGAACAGCUGGGUUGCCACAGCUCUGAGCUACAGGAAUACCGUUUUGUUACUAUUACUGUGGCCUUACCGGCCACCCCUCCCCCAAGACAAGGAUCAAACCUCAGCAUCCAAGAACCCUGACGGCAUGAAAGUUAUGACUUGAAGAGCGAUGAGCUGCUCGUGGCAGAAAACCAGGUCCCGUUGACAGAAAGGAUGGAAUGAGUUCUGCCUCUUUCCUCCUGGUGUGGCCCGAGAGCCGCCGAACUUCGCCGUUGCUUUCUAUGUUUUGAAAAUGUGAACAUGUUUCAAGGGGAUUUGAGAAACACUUGGUCGGUGGUUGCAGGGAUUUCCGCAGAAGGGCUCCGAGGAGCCAAAAGCAUCACGGGCCUCUGUCCUUGCCCUCAGAACGUUGGAAUGGUCGUGACACGAACUACAGUCGACCUCGGUGGCUGGGGAGGUUUUGCAGCGCGUAAGCAGCUCUUUUUAGGCAAGAUGGAGGAGACCACCGCCUUGAAAGACAAAGCUCUGUGUGGCCCCCGCUGGCCUGGCAGCCCACCUCUGCAGGCUUGAAGACACAGCAGCUCACCAUCUAUCCAAGUCACCAGGAUAAGGCUGAGGGCAGCUUUGUCAGAAUGUUUGGUUAAACAUUCUAAGAAUGUGGUUCUCCUCUAGAAGUGCCCUCCAGGGUAACAUCCACUCAGUCACUCUACCCCUUGAAUAGAGGUGUUCAACCAGUUACUCUCCUACCCAAUUGCAUCGGCACGUGGGCAGAGUCCUCAAUCCUGUCCACACGCAGUACCUACUGUCUUUCACUUGUGUGCUCGUCCUAGAACCCAGUCAGGGAGAAGAAUCCUCCUAGAGGGGCACCUGGGUGGCUCAGUCGGUUAAGCAUCUGAAUCUUGGUUUCAGCUCAGGUCAUGAUCUCAUGGUUCAUGAGUUCAAACCCUGCAUUGGGGUCUGUGCUGACACCUUGGAGCCAGCUUGGGAUUCUCUCUCUCCCUCUCUCUCUCUCUGCCCCUUCCCUGCCUGCUCUCUCUCUCUCUCUCUCAAAAUAAAUAAAUGAACUUAAAAAAUUAAAAAAAAAAU